UACAGAGGUCUCAAGCGUUGGUUCGGAAUCACUGGGCGUAAAGGGAGCGUAGGCGGGUUCUAAGUCAGGUGUUUAAUCCCGGGGCCCAACCCCGGACAGGCACUUGAAACUGGGAAUCUUGAAUAGUGGGAGAGGUCAGUGGAAUUGGGGGUGUAGCGGUGGAAUGCGUAGAGAUCCCCAAGAACACCAGUUGCGAAGGCGCUGACUGGACACAUAUUGACGCUGAGGCUCGAAAGCAUGGGGAGCAAACGG
rnacentral:rRNA from 1 species